AGCACCACGCGCUCGAACUGCCCGCGGAGCCCGUCGAGAGACACGAGAAGCGCGCCAUCGGCGGAACUGCCCAGCACCUCUGGCUUGGGGUGGCGGGGCGCAGCCACCCGGUCGACACCUUCAGGCGAGAGGCCGUAGAUUCCCUGGUUGGAGUCCCGUUUCCUGGUGCCGGGGACUCCCGGCAUCUGAGGGCUCUGUCUCUCCAGUGGCCUCAGGACAGAGCAAGGCCCCCAGCAGGUGCCUCGAGACUGCCACACACCUGCCAGAUGCAUUCAGAGGAGCCUGUGAGCCCUGAGCCUGGGCUCCUGAGGAGGAGGAUCCAAGGCUGGGAAACCAGGGCCCUUCCCUAAUCUCUGGCCAGCCAUACCUGUGUUGGCCCUGACGGAAGCUGGGUAGCUGACUGCCCGGCCCCGCUCCGCUGUGACAGUCACCACAUAUUCCACGCCUGGCAUCAGUUCUCAGUGUCAACAUGGGACUGUGUGGAACUUGACCCUGUACAAGCUGGGGAGCAAACAUGCCGAGUGCGCUAACUCCUUGUGAGCCACUGUUCUAGGUGAUGUACAUACAUGAACUCACUUACAACCCUACAAAACAGGUCCUAUUAGUCCCAUUUUACAGAUAAGGAAACUGAGACACAGAAGGACAAGUAUCUUGCCAAGGUCACCAACACCAAGAAAACAGCAAGGAUUUAGGCCCUGGCAGUGUGAUCCCAGAGACCCCUCUCGUGGGCACCCCCUGCUCAUCUGCCAGAGUCCCCUCUCAUGGGCACCAUGUGUUCAUCUGCCAGAAUUCCACCCAACAUGCACUAGGACUCUCCCUCCGGCUUUGCCCUGGCAACUCUGACUACCUGGGCAUGAGAGGCUUCUCCUAAGCUCAGUCCUGUCAGAACAAAUGCAGUCGAUCAAGGAUGCCCUUCAAGCUGCACUUUCUCCUUAAGGGGGCUGCCUCACCCUCUGAACCUGCCGGCAGAUGCCUGCUCAUGGCUAUGUAAUAGGAGUGGGACUCACAUCACCACCUUUCCCUUGAGGGACUUUUUUUGUCUCUUCACCCGGGUUGUAGGCUCCUCAAAACAAGACCCACCCGCUCAAAGUUCCACAAAUAUGUUUCCUGAUUGUUGAUUUUGUACCUGGCAUCAUGCUGGGCAUUGGAGACACAAAAAUAAAAUAUAUGGUCCCUGUC